rnacentral:snRNA from 1 species
AAGUCCAAGCUCUUGUGC